rnacentral:hammerhead_ribozyme from 1 species
GCACUGCUGAAGAGUCCUACAAUAGGACUAAACGGCCAUCUAGUGC